CCAGACUCCUACGGGAGGCAGCAGUGAGGAAUAUUGGUCAAUGGCCGGGAGGCUGAACCAGCCAAGUCGCGUGAGGGAAGACGGCCCUACGGGUUGUAAACCUCUUUUGUCAGGGAGCAAGGUGCAGGUCGGGACCUGCUGUGAGAGUACCUGAAGAAAAAGCAUCGGCUAACUACGUGCCAGCAGCCGCGGUAAUACGUAGGGAGCGAGCGUUGUCCGGAAUUACUGGGUGUAAAGGGAGCGUAGGCGGGACUGCAAGUUGGGUGUCAAAUCUACCGGCUCAACCGGUAGCCGCACUCAAAACUGCAGUUCUUGAGUGAAGUAGAGGCAGGCGGAAUUCCUAGUGUAGCGGUGAAAUGCGUAGAUAUUAGGAGGAACACCAGUGGCGAAGGCGGCCUGCUGGGCUUUUACUGACGCUGAGGCUCGAAAGUGUGGGGAGCAAACAGGAUUAGAUACCCGAGUAAA
rnacentral:rRNA from 1 species